rnacentral:lncRNA from 1 species
GCUCAUGAAGCUGCUUGUGUGAAAUUUGAAGUUCUAGAAGAUUCUGAAUAACUAUAAAUUCCAGGUUGGGGGGAGAUGCUAUCUGAUUUUCAGUCUGCGUGUCUGUCCUCUCCCCAGAAUUUCACAGGACCUAGAGUCACCCAGGAGAAAAACUAUGGCGCAUGUCUGUGAUGGGGGUUCUAGAGUGGGUUAAUUCAUGCAGAAGACCCAUUCUGUAACAUCUUUCCGUGGUCCGGGGCCCAGCCUGAAAAGGAGAAAGCAAGCCAAAUACCAGCGUUCACUGCUCUCUGCCUCUUGUCUGCUGAUGCAAUGCGAGCAGUUGCCUCAAACUCCUGAGACUGCCCUCGCCAGCCUCAAACUGG